rnacentral:rRNA from 1 species
CACGUAGGGACCAAGCGUUGUCCGGAUUUAUUGGGCGUAAAGAGCUCGUAGGCGGUUCGAUAAGUCGGGUGUGAAAACUUUGGGCUCAACCCAAAGCGUGCAUUCGAUACUGUUGUGACUAGAGUUCGGUAGGGGAGUGGGGAAUUCCUAGUGUAGCGGUGAAAUGCGCAGAUAUUAGGAGGAACACCGGUGGCGAAGGCGCCACUCUGGGCCGAAACUGACGCUGAGGAGCGAAAGCGUGGGUAGCAAACAGG